UCCGGUUCAUCACCGGCAGUCUCCUUAGAGUCCCCAACUGAAUGAUGGCAACUAAGGAUAAGGGUUGCGCUCGUUACGGGACUUAACCCAACAUCUCACAACACGAGCUGACGACAGCCAUGCAGCACCUGUCUCAGGGUUCCUUUCGGCACUCCCGCAUCUCUGCAGGAUCCCCUGGAUGUCAAGGGUAGGUAAGGUUCUUCGCGUUGCAUCGAAUUAAACCACAUGCUCCACCGCUUGUGCGGGCCCCCGUCAAUUUCUUUGAGUUUUAAUCUUGCGACCGUACUCCCCAGGCGGAAAACUUAUCGCGUUAGCUUCGAUACUGAUAGGUCUAAGCCUACCAACAUCUAGUUUUCAUCGUUUACAGCGUGGACUAC
rnacentral:misc_RNA from 1 species